rnacentral:rRNA from 1 species
UACGAAGGGGGCUAGCGUUGCUCGGAAUUACUGGGCGUAAAGGGCGCGUAGGCGGAUAGUUCAGUCGGGGGUGAAAGCCCGGGGCUCAACCUCGGAACUGCCUUCGAUACUGGCGGGCUUGAGACCGGGAGAGGAGGGUGGAAUACCCAGUGUAGAAGUGAAAUUCGUAGAUAUUGGGUGGAACACCGGUGGCGAAAGCGGCUCUCUGGCCCGGAUCUGACGCUGAGGCGCGAAAGCGUGGGGAGCAAACAGG